rnacentral:misc_RNA from 1 species
GCAAACUUGGUCAUUUAGAGGAAGUAAAAGUUGUAACAAGGUUUCCGUAGGUGAACCUGCGGAAGGAUCAUUAACAAAUCCAAUGCUUGUGGGAUGGCUUGUAAAAGGGUCAUCUUGCAAAUAUUAAUCCGCUGGCCUCGCAAGGGGCUAGUUGAUAACAUAAAUGUGUGUAGUGUUGACAGUGUGUGAUAUUUAAUUAAUUAUUGACAACUUUUAACAAUGGAUCUCUAGGCUCUUGCAUCGAUGAAGAACGCAGC